GCCAUCCGAGUGGCUGAAGGAGCACGCCUGGAAAGUGUGUAUACGGCAACGUAUCGGGGGUUCGAAUCCCCCCCUCACCGCCA
rnacentral:tRNA from 1 species